CUUCUGCUGCUAGAAGUGAACAGAAUCACUUCUGAUUUAACCCCGUGUCUCCUUUGACAUUCCUCUGGCCAACUUGGUCUUCAAAGCACAAGGAUUUAGAAGAUGAGAAGGAUUUUCCAGACAUAAAGGAAGAAAAGAAGAAAUCAAGAGCUGUAAACAAGGGGGACAAAGAAGCUAAGACAGUAUCCUUUGUAUUUCUAAGUGGCCUUCACUUCCUGGUGUCAGAAGAACAAACCCCUGUGCCAGAUGCUCCAGAUUCGAGCACUGGGAGGAUGAAAAGGCAAAUCGACGCCUUGCUAUGAUUUGCUCAAUUAACCCGGACGAGAUGAACAGACUUCCCCUAACAGGCUUCCAAGGCAUGUGAUCUCCAGCCAUCACGAAGGCUGAACAUUAACUGGUAAAUAAGGCUAGAAAAUUCAUGCUGGAGACAUUAAGUUUUGAUCUACGAUAACCAAGGCUUCGUUCACCAUCACUACCACAGGAUGGCCACAGAACAGGAUUUCAGAGGGUAAUGACUUUUGUUUUUGUCUUCAGGGAAAUGAAUUUACUCAUUUUUACAGGCAACUGGCUUGGUUCCAAUCGGUUUUGUCCUCUUAUACAACUUUGUCUUCUCCAUUUUUUUCUCUUUUGUGAUCAGCAAGAGAAUAUUCACUAUUGAAGAACCAUCCAUAACCAGCCACAGCGUCCUCUCUACCGUCUUCAUUUGCCUUGACCUCAACAUCCCAUAACCAAAUCUUAACUCCAUGUGCUGGAGCCCUGUCUCCCAUUUCUGUUUUCUUUCCUGCUGUUUCUUUUCUUUCAUAAUCUCCUGUCAGAGUACUCCUCAUGUCCCUCCCUAUUCCCCAUCCUCUGACAGUUUACUGAGUCUUCUACAAAACCACCGAUAAGAGUCUCUGUGGAGAAUUCUUGUCACUCUAAGGCACUUUGGAUUAAAGUAACCAAGGGUUCCAUCACCUACUAAAUCUAAACCUGCAUAUAUCCUCUGACUCAGUAAUUCCACUCUAGGGUACAUAUAGUAAAGAACUGAGUGUCUAUGCACACCCAGCACAUGUACAAGAAUGUUCACAGCAGCUUUAUUCAUAAUAACCCAAAGCUAGAAACAACAAAAUGUCCAUCAACAACAAAAUGGAUAAAGUAUGAUACAUUUACACAAUGGAAUGAUACACACCAAAGAAAAAGAAUGCAUUAUCGCUAUACACAACACCAUCCAUGGAUGAAUCUCAAAGACAAUGAUGAGAAAAAGGAGCCAAAACCCACAAAUGUCUCCUGCUAUCCAUCCCCCCCCCCCCCC